AGUGAACGCUGGCGGUAGGCCUAACACAUGCAAGUCGAACGGCAGCACAGGAGAGCUUGCUCUCUGGGUGGCGAGUGGCGGACGGGUGAGGAAUACAUCGGAAUCUACUUUUUCGUGGGGGAUAACGUAGGGAAACUUACGCUAAUACCGCAUACGACCUACGGGUGAAAGCAGGGGAUCUUCGGACCUUGCGCGAUUGAAUGAGCCGAUGUCGGAUUAGCUAGUUGGCGGGGUAAAGGCCCAGCAAGGCGACGAUCCGUAGCUGGGACGAGAGGAUGAUCAGCCACACUGGAACUGAGACACGGGCCAGACUCCUACGGGAGGCAGCAGUGGGGAAUAUUGGACAAUGGGCGCAAGCCUGAUCCAGCCAUACCGCGUGGGUGAAGAAGGCCUUCGGGUUGUAAAGCCCUUUUGUUGGGAACGAAAUCCAGCUGGUUAAUACCCGGUUGGGAUGACGGUACCCAAAGAAUAAGCACCGGCUAACUUCGUGCCAGCAGCCGCCGUAA
rnacentral:rRNA from 1 species